UACGUAGGGUGCGAGCGUUGUCCGGAAUUAUUGGGCGUAAAGGGCUCGUAGGCGGUUUGUCGCGUCGGGAGUGAAAACCUUGGGCUUAACUCAGGGCUUGCUUUCGAUACGGGCAGACUAGAGGUAUGCAGGGGAGAACGGAAUUCCUGGUGUAGCGGUGAAAUGCGCAGAUAUCAGGAGGAACACCGGUAGCGAAGGCGGUUCUCUGGGCAUGAUCUGACGCUGAGGAGCGAAAGUGUGGGGAGCGAACAGG
rnacentral:rRNA from 1 species